UUUCCUCCUCACCUCUUGCUACCUAAGGAGAAAUACUCAACUCUUUGUCUUAGAAUUUCAACUAAAAUAACGGUGGUGAAGGUGACCAAGUUGAGAAAUAGAAGGGGGGAUCUUAGCUUGUGAUGCUAGCUUGAAGGUCAGGAGUGAUGCGUGACUCGAGAGCGCGACUUAGUGCUUGAUUCUCCAUUAUGUUUUGUUUUGUUAGGUUUGAUCUUUGGGUUUAGAUGUAACCUUUGAUACACUUGACUUAUGUUUUGGUUAGUUGUGAACUUAUUUUCUGUAGAUAUCUAUCAUCGUCUACUCGGUGCUAGAACUUUGUUUUUGUAAGACGCACUGGACAUUUGGGCUUGUAGAGUUGUAUUUUGGGCUAUGUUAACUUUUUGAGUUAGCCUUGCACCUGUGACCCGAUAGGUGUGGCAGUAACAUUGCUAACUUUUAAGAAGUUUGAAUGUAAUUUUAAUUAGUUAAAUGAAACUUUAUGGGUAUUAUAUCAAUUAA